rnacentral:rRNA from 1 species
UACGUAGGGGGCAAGCGUUAUCCGGAUUUACUGGGUGUAAAGGGAGCGUAGACGGUAAUGUAAGUCUGAUGUGAAAGCCCGAGGCCCAACCACGGGACUGCUCUGGAAACUGCGGGGCUGGAGUGCAGGAGGGGUAAGCGGAAUUCCUAGUGUAGCGGUGAAAUGCGUAGAUAUUAGGAGGAACACCGGUGGCGAAGGCGGCUUACUGGACUGUAACUGACGUUGAGGCUCGAAAGCGUGGGGAGCAAACAGG